rnacentral:rRNA from 1 species
UACGGGGGGGGCAAGCGUUGUUCGGAAUUACUGGGCGUAAAGGGUUUGUAGGUGGCUUGUUAAGUCAGACGUGAAAUCCCUCAGCUUAACUGGGGAACUGCGUCUGAGACUGGUGAGCUUGAGUGCAGGAGAGGAACGCGGAAUUCCAGGUGUAGCGGUGAAAUGCGUAGAUAUCGUAAGGAAGACCAGUGGCGAAGGCGAGUCUCUGGACAGUUACCGACGCUGAGGCACGAAGGUCAGGGGAGCAAACGGG